rnacentral:tRNA from 1 species
GAAGUAAUUUCCUUUUAGGAACUAUUUGUUUUGAAAACAUAUUGUGGAGAAUUUUUAAAUUAAUGUCUUCUUACUUUU